rnacentral:lncRNA from 1 species
AGAGCAGGCCAAGGCCGAGGGACCACCCAAUACGAAGCUGUUUGAGCUCUAUCAGAUUGCAAGCCUGGAAGCGAUUGUUAUAUGUUUUGUUGUAUCUUUGGAACAGUUUAUGUACUGUUUGCUUUUUCUUCUUUUUGUCCUUCUACGUGUCUAGAUAAGCAUAUGGCCCGCAUCUAUCAGGCUCCAUAAGCAUGGUGUGCGCUUGUUCCUUUUGCUAUGAUAG